rnacentral:lncRNA from 1 species
CAGGAUCUCUAUCAGGAUGUGGAGAUGCUGAGAUAUUUGUCACAAUCUCUGCCCUCGGGUUGGCUCCUGGUAGAGGAAGACAACUAACUCCAAUUCUUAUGGUGUAUCUCAAAAGCAAGGUACAAUUUUUGUCAAACUCAUGGGGAGAUUAAGUACUUAAAUGCAUUCCUUCACAGAGUCUGAGCAGGUGCUAUGAAAUGUCAAAGGCUUCUCCAAAAUUAAAACAACCCAGCCAGUGUUGAAAAUUUCCAGAAAGUUUCCAGGACAUUCCCUCCUGAAGUGGGAUCAUUGCAAUUAUAUGUAGAUGUAGAAAUAGGCACUAAUAGCAUGCAUAUACGUGCUAACAUAGAAUAAUCAAAUUCAACAAAUACAUGUUGACUUAUAUCCAUAAAUACAUAAAAUGAAUAACCUGAGAAGAAUUGCUAGAAUGGAUCAAUAUCUAUUUCCAUAAAAUUUUCUUCUUGGGCAAGAAUGUAUUACAUCUGCAGGUGAGAAUUUCCAUAAUGAUUCAGGUGUAUGAAUAUCUGGCUAAAUGUGUGGCUGCGUUUUUGUUGUUCUGCUUUGAUAAACCAUCACCAAACUUCUAAAUGAGCAGCCGUCUUACUCACUAAUUGAAUAUUUUAACUUUUUUUCCUCUGUAGAGCUGGUGUGUCAUUAUAUUUUCCAUUUUGUGCCUUGCUUUUCAUGCAUUUAAAGUGCUGGAGCAGCUGUUUAUUUGGAAAGUUUCCAUUAUGGCCAUAAUAAUCUCCAACUAAUUGCACAUCAAAUAUUUAUUUCUUGCACAUUAAAUUAAUGAAGCAGUUUCAACAAGAGAAAAAUUGGAUCAGGUUGGCAAACAGUGCCUAUAAAUUCAUGAAAGAUUCCCAGUUCUUUUUUGGCAAGACUUCUUUAAUACAGAUUAACAAUUUUUAAAUGGAAAAUUUUUCCAUUAUCUUGUUGUGACUUUUAAAAAUAGGCAAGCUUUCUUUAUUAAAGUGCUUUUCUCAAUUUUUCUUGAUAUAUUAUUGCUUUCAGAAAUGAAAAGAAAAAACAUGAGUUUCCUCCCAUUGAUUCUCACAUCAGUUAUUUGGUAUCUUCUUAGCCUUGAAUGUAACAUGAUUUUUUUUUUCUAUUUCUACUUUUGAUACUGUACAUGGUUUUAGUGGCUGGACUUCUACUUCUUAUUUUUUCAGCUUUAUUGAGGUAUAGCUGACAUACUAAAAAUGGUACUAAUUUUUUAAUGUGUUACGACAUGAUGAGCCUGGAUACAUGCACACAUCUACAGAUCCGACCAACACGGUCAGGACCAUGCACAUCUCCAACACGUCCUGAAGUGUGCCCUUUUGUUCCUUGUAUUGUUUUUGUUUGUUUGUUUUGUGGUAAGAACACCUUAUGUGAUAUUUACUGUCUUAACAGAAUCCGAAGUGCCCUUAUAACAUAUUGUUAACUCUUGGCACUAUGUUGCACAGCUGGUCUCUGGAACUUAAUCAUCUUCUGUAACUGAAAUUUUAUACUCGUUGAAGCAAAACUCUCCAUUUCCCCCUCCACUCAGCUCCUGGCAACCACCACUGUAUUCCCUGCUCCUAUGAGUCUGAUGAUUUAAGUAGCAUCAUGCAAUAUUCUGCAUGACUUAAAUAGACUCAUGCAGUAUUCUAUCCUGGCUUAUUUCUUCUGUAACUGAUGUAUUUCUCUUGCAAAGACAUUUUUGAUGAAUACAUACGAAUGGCCAAACAGGUAUGUGAAAAGAUGCUCAACACCAAUAAUUAUCACGGGAAUGCAGAUUAAAACUACAGUGAGAUAUCACCUCACACAUGUUAAGUUGGCAAUUACUUAAAAAAAAAAAAAAA